rnacentral:rRNA from 1 species
UACGGAAGGUGCAAGCGUUAAUCGGAAUUACUGGGCGUAAAGCGCGCGUAGGCGGUCCGGUAAGUCGGGUGUGAAAGCCCUGGGCUCAACCUGGGAAUUGCAUUCGAUACUGUCGGGCUAGAGUGUGGUAGAGGGGGGUGGAAUUCCAGGUGUGGCGGUGAAAUGCGUAGAGAUCUGGAGGAACACCAGUGGCGAAGGCGGCCCCCUGGACCAACACUGACGAUGAGGUGCGAAAGAGUGGGUAGCAAACAGG